UACGUAGGGGGCAAGCGUUGUCCGGAAUCAUUGGGCGUAAAGAGCGUGUAGGCGGCCCGAUAAGUCCGCUGUGAAAGUCCAGGGCUCAACCCUGGGAUGCCGGUGGAUACUGUCGGGCUCGAGUCCGGAAGAGGAGUGUGGAAUUCCCGGUGUAGGGGUGAAAUCCGUAGAUAUCGGGAGGAAUACCAGCGGCGAAGGCGGCCUUCUGGACGGUGACUGACGCUGAGACGCGAAAGCGUGGGGAGCAAACAGG
rnacentral:rRNA from 1 species